GACGAACGCUGGCGGCGUGCUUAACACAUGCAAGUCGAACGGUGAACCUCUUCGGAGGGAAUCAGUGGCGAACGGGUGAGUAACACGUGGGCAACCUGCCCCCGGCUCUGGGAUAACUCCAAGAAAUUGGGGCUAAUACCGGAUGUUCACCGCUUCCCGCAUGGGUGGUGGUGGAAAGGGUUUCCGGCUGGGGAUGGGCCCGCGGCCUAUCAGCUUGUUGGUGGGGUAGUGGCCUACCAAGGCGACGACGGGUAGCCGGCCUGAGAGGGUGACCGGCCACACUGGGACUGAGACACGGCCCAGACUCCUACGGGAGGCAGCAGUGGGGAAUAUUGCGCAAUGGGCGGAAGCCUGACGCAGCGACGCCGCGUGGGGGAUGACGGCCUUCGGGUUGUAAACCUCUUUCAGCAGGGACGAAGCGCAAGUGACGGUACCUGCAGAAGAAGCACCGGCCAACUACGUG
rnacentral:rRNA from 1 species